AGUGAACGCUGGCGGUAGGCCUAACACAUGCAAGUCGAACGGCAGCACAGUAAGAGCUUGCUCUUACGGGUGGCGAGUGGCGGACGGGUGAGGAAUACAUCGGAAUCUACUUUUUCGUGGGGGAUAACGUAGGGAAACUUACGCUAAUACCGCAUACGACCUACGGGUGAAAGCAGGGGAUCUUCGGAUCUUGCGCGAUUGAAUGAGCCGAUGUCGGAUUAGCUAGUUGGCGGGGUAAAGGCCCACCAAGGCGACGAUCCGUAGCUGGUCUGAGAGGAUGGUCAGCCACACUGGAACUGAGACACGGUCCAGACUCCUACGGGAGGCAGCAGUGGGGAAUGUUAGACAAUGGGCGCGAGCCUGAUCCAGCCAUACCGCGUGGGUGAAGAAGGCCUUCGGGUUGUAAAGCCCUUUUGUUGGGAAAGAAAAGCAGCAGGUUAAUACCCCGCUGUUCUGACGGUACCCAAAGAAUAAGCACCGGCUAACUUCGUG
rnacentral:rRNA from 1 species